rnacentral:rRNA from 1 species
AAUCUUGAGAGUUUGAUCCUGGCUCAGAAUCAACGCUGGCGGCGUGCCUAACACAUGCAAGUCGAGCGAGAAAAGGGGAGCAAUCCCCUGAGUACAGCGGCGCACGGGUGAGUAACACGUGGGUAAUCUGCCCUAGAGUGGG